rnacentral:misc_RNA from 1 species
AAGUCGUAACAAGGUUUCCGUAGGUGAACCUGCGGAAGGAUCAUUAUCCUUUAGCUUGUGCGAGUGUCACUUAUUGCACUUGUACUCACGAGCUCAUAAUGCUCUUAUUGCGCGGCAGCUGCAUUCUCUAUAGAGGCAGCUACCAAAAAAAUCCACGGUAGGCUCGUUGCUACUGUGGUCAGGUACCUAGAAGCGGCUGUGCUCUUUUACUGGAGCCAGUCGUGUUGGCGUAAAGAUUGCACUCACUCGUAGUGUGACGCCUGUCUAGCUUACAAGUUUUCUCACCAUUUAAAUUACAUUAUUUAGAGUUGUGACUGUGUCGAAUUCUAUGCUAAUCAUAGAUGAUUUAACACAUAAACAACCCUAUGCGGUGGAUCACUUGGCUC